GGGCGCGUGGUGGAACGGCAUACACGCACGGCUUAGGACCGUGUGCUUCGGCAUGAGAGUUCGAAUCUCUCCGCGCCCA
rnacentral:tRNA from 1 species